CCUGCCCUGUGACUUAUGUUUAACGGCCGCGGUAUUUUGACCGUGCGAAGGUAGCGCAAUCACUUGUCUUUUAAAUGAAGACCUGUAUGAAUGGCUUAACGAGGGCUUAGCUGUCUCUUUCCCUUCGUCUAUGAAAUUGAUCUCCCCGUGCAGAAGCGAGGAUACUACCAUAAGACGAGAAGACCCUAUGGAGCUUUAGGCAAAAGACAGCCCAAAUUAGCCUCAAAACUCAAUAUUGAAGGAUAACAUCUGGCCCCUGCUUAAAAAUGCCUUUGGUUGGGGCGACCUUGGGGAAAACAAAACCCCCAUGCGGAAAGGAAGAACUUCUUUCACAACCAUGAGCCCCAAUUCUAAGUAACAGAACCUCUGACUAUAAAUGAUCCGGCAAAGCCGAUCAACGGACCGAGUUACCCUAGGGAUAACAGCGCAAUCUCCUCCCAGAGACCAUAUCGACGAGGAGGUUUACGACCUCGAUGUUGGAUCAGGACAUCCUAUUGGUGUAGCCGCUAUUAA
rnacentral:rRNA from 1 species